AAGUACCUUUUGUGAUCUCUGAUCCCCAAACUGCUCAUUGCUCUUAAGCGCCUCAUUCAUGCAGACCAGCAUAAACUCCUAGUACAGCCAAUCCUGCAAGUAGUGUUUCCAAUCUUGAGUGCAGCGCCCCCUCCUGGAGAAGAGGAAGACGACACUGAGGGCGACAGAGAGAAUCCCGAGCACUUUGCUGUUCAGGUCAGUCCCUUUGCAUGCUUCAUUUCUUUUACUCAUUCUUUCUGUACCCAUCUCACCCUCUCUCAAGCUGAUAUGCGUUCCCCUAUAGGUCAAUGACACCAUGGCUCUUUACAUGCCACAUGAAAAACUCUUCAACCAGCUGGUUAGCAUACAAAAACACUCAUUGUAAACCAUGGCCAUAGUAGCAAUAGUAGACUUAAACAUUUCAGUGGCCCAGUGACUCUAUUAAAAUAUCUAUAUUUAUGUCAUGCAGUUGCCUCUCACUCAUAUGAGCGUAAAGGAGGUCUCGUGUAUGUCUGUGCUCGCCGAAGGAUGUGAUCCACAUCUGCACCACGUAAGCUUUACUCUACGAUUAGGCAUAGAUUUCUACCCGUAUUUAUAGAACAUCAUUUCCAAACAUAUGAAAAAAGUUCUGCUCAGUGCUUUAACUUUGUGUUUUGGUGUUAGGGUGUUGUCAUCCAUGCUUCAAACCCAGUGUCCAGGUGGUCCGUGCAGGGCUCUACGGCCUCGGACAGUUAUCGAACACCUUCAAGUCCGACUGAGAUCCAGACGUCAGUAAAUUCCAUGCUGAGCUGAUGCAGUUGUUUUCUUCAGUGAAUCAGACCAAAAUCGGCCACAUGACGCAGGCCUCCUAUGCAUUGGAGAACUUAGAGAACUUCGGUUAGAGUGCAGCCAGUGUUAAUGUUACCUUUUUUACCUUUUUAUGAUAAACCUAAUCAAUAUAAUUGGCUAUAUUUAUUUAUUUUAUUUUACAUUUAUUUAUAAUAAUAAUUAUAAUCAACUGUACUAAAAAAAAUAAAAAAAAUAAUAAAUAAUAAAAAAACACACACACAUAUAUAUAUAUAUAUAUAUAUAUAUAUAUAUAUAUAUAUAUAUAUAUAUAUAUAUAUAUAUAUAUAUAUAUACUUUAUAUAGGC
rnacentral:lncRNA from 1 species